rnacentral:rRNA from 1 species
UAACUACGUGCCAGCCAGCCGCGGUAAUACGUAGGGCGCGAGCGUUGUCCGGAAUUAUGAGCGUAAAGAGCUCGUAGGCGGCCUUGUCACGUCGGUGGUGAAAGCCCGGGGCUUAACCCCGGGUCUGCAGUCGAUACGGGCAGGCUAGAGUUCGGUAGGGGAGAUCGGAUUUCUUGGUGUAGCGGUGAAAUGCGCAGAUAUCAGGAGGAACACCGGUGGCGAAGGCGGAUCUCUGGGCCGUUACUGACGCUGAGGAGCGAAAGCGUGGGGAGCGAACAGGAUUAGAUACCCUGGUAGUCCACGCCGUAAACGGUGGGCAUUAGGUGUGGGCAACAUUCCACGUGGUCGGUGCGGCAGUUAACGCAUUAAGUGCCCCGCCUGGGGAGUACGGCCGCAAGGUUAAAAUUCAAAGGAAUUGACGGGGGCCCGCACAAGCGGCGGAGCAUGUGGCUUAAUUGGACGCAACGGGAAGACCCUUACCAAGGCUUGACAUCCACCGGAAACCUUUGGAGAUAGUCCCCCCCUUGUGGUCGGUGUCCAGGUGGUGCAUGGCUGUCGUCAGUUCGUGUCGUGAGAUGUUGGGUUAAGUCCCGCAACGAGCGCAACCCUUGUCCCGUGUUGCCAGCAGGCCCUUGUGGUGAUGGGGACUCACGGGAGACCGCCGGGGUCAACUCGGAGGAAGGUGGGGACGACGUCAAGUCAUCAUGCCCCUUAUGUCUUGGGCUGCACACGUGCUACAAUGGCAGGUACAAUGAGCUGCGAUACCGCGAGGUGGAGCGAAUCUCAAAAAGCCGGUCUCAGUUCGGAUUGGGGUCUGCAACUCGACCCCAUGAAGUCGGAGUCGCUAGUAAUCGCAGAUCAGCAUUGCUGCGGUGAAUACGUUCCCGGGCCUUGUACACACCGCCCGUCACGUCACGAAAGUCGGUAACACCCGAAGCCGGUGGCCCAACCCCUUGUGGGAGGGAGCUGUCGAAGGUGGGACUGGCGAUUGGGACGAAGUCGUAGCAAGAGCUGCCGGGG